rnacentral:rRNA from 1 species
UACAGAGGGUGCGAGCGUUGUUCGGAAUUAUUGGGCGUAAAGGGCGCGUAGGCGGUGCCACAAGUCACCUGUGAAAUCCCCGGGCUUAACUCGGGGCCUGCAGGCGAAACUGUGGUGCUGGAGUAUGGGAGAGGUGCGUGGAAUUCCCGGUGUAGCGGUGAAAUGCGUAGAUAUCGGAAGGAACAUCAGUGGCGAAGGCGACUUUCUGGACAAAUACUGACACUGAGGCACGAAAGCGUGGGGAGCAAACGGG